rnacentral:rRNA from 1 species
UGGGGAAUAUUGGACAAUGGGGGCAACCCUGAUCCAGCAAUGCCGCGUGUGUGAAGAAGGUCUUCGGAUUGUAAAGCACUUUCGACGGGGACGAUGAUGACGGUACCCGUAGAAGAAGCCCCGGCUAACUUCGUGCCAGCAGCCGCGGUAAUACGAAGGGGGCUAGCGUUGCUCGGAGUGACUGGGCGUAAAGGGCGUGUAGGCGGUUUACACAGUCAGAUGUGAAAUCCCCGGGCUUAACCUGGGAGCUGCAUUUGAUACGUGUAGACUAGAGUGUGAGAGAGGGUUGUGGAAUUCCCAGUGUAGAGGUGAAAUUCGUAGAUAUUGGGAAGAACACCGGUGGCGAAGGCGGCAACCUGGCUCAUGACUGACGCUGAGGCGCGAAAGCGUGGGGAGCAAACAGGAUUAGAUACCCUGGUAGUCCACGC